rnacentral:lncRNA from 1 species
AUCCCUAGCAGGGUUGUGUAUAUCUCUCCCCAGCACAAAGUCUGGUAUAUUACUUUCCUCACCAGCGUUUUGCUCUUCCUCAGCAGAGUUGGUGUGUUAUUCCCCGACAUAGUUGUUUUCCCAAUCGGAUCUCCCGAGCAGAGGUUGGUGUUAAUAAUUUUCCCCAGCUAGUCCCCGAGUGGAGCGGGUUCAAAGAAAUUUAUCUCCAGCAGCU